rnacentral:rRNA from 1 species
CCUACGGGAGGCAGCAGUGGGGAAUAUUGCACAAUGGGCGCAAGCCUGAUGCAGCGACGCCGCGUGCGGGAUGACGGCCUUCGGGUUGUAAACCGCUUUUGACUGGGAGCAAGCCCUUCGGGGUGAGUGUACCUUUCGAAUAAGCACCGGCUAACUACGUGCCAGCAGCCGCGGUAAUACGUAGGGUGCAAGCGUUAUCCGGAAUUAUUGGGCGUAAAGGGCUCGUAGGCGGUUCGUCGCGUCCGGUGUGAAAGUCCAUCGCUUAACGGUGGAUCCGCGCCGGGUACGGGCGGGCUUGAGUGCGGUAGGGGAGACUGGAAUUCCCGGUGUAACGGUGGAAUGUGUAGAUAUCGGGAAGAACACCAAUGGCGAAGGCAGGUCUCUGGGCCGUCACUGACGCUGAGGAGCGAAAGCGUGGGGAGCGAACAGGAUUAGAUACCCUGGUAGUCCACGCCGUAAACGGUGGAUGCUGGAUGUGGGGACCAUUCCACGGUCUCCGUGUCGGAGCCAACGCGUUAAGCAUCCCGCCUGGGGAGUACGGCCGCAAGGCUAAAACUCAAAGAAAUUGACGGGGGCCCGCACAAGCGGCGGAGCAUGCGGAUUAAUUCGAUGCAACGCGAAGAACCUUACCUGGGCUUGACAUGUUCCCGACAGCCGUAGAGAUACGGUCUCCCUUCGGGGCGGGUUCACAGGUGGUGCAUGGUCGUCGUCAGCUCGUGUCGUGAGAUGUUGGGUUAAGUCCCGCAACGAGCGCAACCCUCGCCCUGUGUUGCCAGCACGUCAUGGUGGGAACUCACGGGGGACCGCCGGGGUCAACUCGGAGGAAGGUGGGGAUGACGUCAGAUCAUCAUGCCCCUUACGUCCAGGGCUUCACGCAUGCUACAAUGGCCGGUACAACGGGAUGCGACACUGUGAGGUGGAGCGGAUCCCUUAAAACCGGUCUCAGUUCGGAUUGGAGUCUGCAACCCGACUCCAUGAAGGCGGAGUCGCUAGUAAUCGCGGAUCAGCAACGCCGCGGUGAAUGCGUUCCCGGGCCUUGUACACACCGCCCGUCAAGUCAUGAAAGUGGGUAGCACCCGAAGCCGGUGGCCCAACCUUUUGGGGGGGAGCCGUCUAAGGUGAGACUCGUGAUUGGGACUAAGUCGUAACAAGGUAGCCGUACCGGAAGGUGCGGCUG